CACACGUCAUACAAUGGUCGGUACAGGUAGGGUUGACCCAACCCGCGAGGGGGAGCUAAUCCCACAAAGCCGAUCGUAGUCCGGAUCGCAGUCUGCAACUCGACUGCGUGAAGUCGGAAUCGCUAGUAAUCGUGGAUCAGCAUGUCACGGUGAAUACGUUCCCGGGUCUU
rnacentral:rRNA from 1 species